AACGAACGCUGGCGGCGCGUCUUAAACAUGCAAGUCGAACGGCAAAAGAGGGGCUUGCCCCUUUUUGAGAGUGGCGGACUGGUGAGUAACACUGUGGGUGACAUACCUUUUAGUUGGAGAUAGCUAUUAGAAAUAGUAGGUAAUACCGAGUGUGACCGUAUUUAUUAGAAGGAUACGAGGAAAGGAGCUAAGGCUUCGCUAAAAGAAUGGCUCGCGGCCCAUUAUGCUGGUUGGUGAGGUAACGGCCCACCAAGGCGAUGAUGGGUAUCCGGCCUGAGAGGGUGAACGGACACAUUGGGACUGAGAUACGGCCCAGACUUCUACGGGAGGCAGCAGUUAAGAAUAUUCCGCAAUGGACGAAAGUCUGACGGAGCGACGCCGCGUGGAUGAAGAAUGCCGAAAGGUUGUAAAAUCCCUUUUAAGCCUGAUGAAUAAGCACAAUAAGGGAAU
rnacentral:rRNA from 1 species